rnacentral:rRNA from 1 species
UACGUAGGGGGCUAGCGUUGUCCGGAUUUAUUGGGCGUAAAGAGCGUGUAGGCGGCCAUGUAGGUCCGGUGUGAAAACUCGAGGCUUAACCUCGAGAUGUCAUCGGAAACCAUUUGGCUAGAGUCCGGAAGAGGAGAGUGGAAUUCCUGGUGUAGCGGUGAAAUGCGUAGAGAUCGGGAGGAAGGCCGGUGGCGAAGGCGGUCUGCUGGGCAGUUGCUGACGCUGAUGCGCGACAGCGUGGGGAGCAAACAGG